UAGGUGUCGGGGGUUACCCCCUUCGGUGCCGCAGCUAACGCAUUAAGUACUCCGCCUGGGAAGUACGCUCGCAAGAGUGAAACUCAUAGGAUGUGGCGGGGACCCGCACAAGUAGCUUAGCAGGGGGGUUAAUGCGAAGCAACGCGAAGAACCUUACCUAAGAUUGACAUCCCAAUGACAUCUCCUUAAUCGGAGAGUUCCCUUCGGGGACAUUGGUGACAGGUGGUGCAUGGUUGUCGUCAGCUCGUGU
rnacentral:rRNA from 1 species